rnacentral:tRNA from 1 species
GGUUCCGUGGCCGAGUGGAUAUCACACUAGGCUUACACUCCGGAGGUCCCGGGUUCGAUUCCCGGCGGGGUUG